AACUUUCAACAAUGGAUCUCUUGGCUCUGGCAUCGAUGAAGAACGCAGCGAAAUGCGAUAAGUAGUGUGAAUUGCAGAAUUCAGUGAAUCAUCGAAUCUUUGAACGCACAUUGCGCCCCUCGGUAUUCCGUGGGGCAUGCCUGUUCGAGCGUCAUCU
rnacentral:rRNA from 7 species